rnacentral:rRNA from 1 species
UACAGAGGUCUCAAGCGUUGUUCGGAUUCAUUGGGCGUAAAGGGUGCGUAGGUGGCGCUGUAAGUCGGGUGUGAAAUUUCGGAGCUUAACUCCGAAACUGCAUUCGAUACUGCGGUGCUUGAGGACUGGAGAGGAGACUGGAAUUCAUGGUGUAGCAGUGAAAUGCGUAGAGAUCAUGAGGAAGACCAGUGGCGAAGGCGGGUCUCUGGACAGUUCCUGACACUGAGGCGCGAAAGCUAGGGGAGCAAACGGG